rnacentral:rRNA from 1 species
CCAAUAGCGUAUAUUAAAGUUGUUGCAGUUAAAAAGCUCGUAGUUGAACUUCGGGAUUCACCCAUUGGUCAGGCUUAAUUGUCUGUACUGGUGAGAUGAAUUCCUACCUUCUGAGGAACUUUCAUGCCAUUCAUUUGGUGUGAUGGGAAAUCAGGACUGUUACUUUGAAAAAAUUAGAGUGUUUAAAGCAGGCUUACGUCUGAAUACAUUAGCAUGGAAUAAUGAAAUAGGACGGACUGAUUCUAUUUCGUUGGUUUCUAGGAUCACCGUAAUGAUUAAUAGGGAUAGUUGGGGGCAUUAGUAUUCAAUUGUCAGAGGUGAAAUUCUUGGAUUUAUUGAAGACUAACUACUGCGAAAGCAUUUGCCAAGGAUGUUUUCAUUAAUCAAGAACGAAAGUUAGGGGAUCGAAGACGAUCAGAUACCGUCGUAGUCUUAACCAUAAACUAUGCCGACUAGGGAUCGGACGAAGUUAAUUUUAUAAUGACGCGUUCGGCACCUUACG